rnacentral:rRNA from 1 species
AAUGAACGCUGGCGGCAGGCCUAAAACAUGCAAGUCGAACGCCCUAGCAAUAGGGAGUGGCGCACGGGUGAGUAACAUGUGGGAAUAUGCCUUUUGGUACGGAACAACGUUUGGAAACGAACGCUAAUACCGUAUGGUCCCUCCGGGGUAAAGAUUUAUCGCCAAAAGAUUAGCCCGCACUAGAUUAGCUAGUUGGUAAGGUAAUGGCUUACCAAGGCGACGAUCUAUAGCUGUUCUUAGAGGAAGAUCAGCCACACUGGGACUGCGACACGGCCCAGACUCCUACGGGAGGCAGCAGUUAGGAAUAUUGGACAAUGGGCGCAAGCCUGAUCCAGCCAUGCCGCGUGAGUGAUGAAGGCCUUCGGGUUGUAAAGCUCUUUAGCCGACGAAUAUAAUGACUGUACCUGGAAAAGAAGCCUCGGCUAACUCCGUGCCAGCCGCCGCCGUAAAAC